ACGUAGGUGACGAGCGUUGUUCGGAAUUAUUGGGCGUAAAGGGUUCGUAGGAGGUUUAUUAAGAUUGGUGUGAAAUCCCAAGGCUCAACCUUGGAACUGCAUUGAUUACUGAUGAACUAGAGUGUCGUAGAGGAAAGCGGAAUUCCAGGUGGAGAGGUUGAAUGCGUAGAUAUCUGGAAGAACAACGAAAGCGAAGGCAGCUUUCAGGACGAUAACUGACUCUUAGGAACGAAAGCGUGGUGAUCAAACAG
rnacentral:rRNA from 1 species